GGGGCAGUGUGACGCCACAAAGUUUCAUGCACCGCAGCUAGGAAGCAGAAGAAGAAAAAACCGGAAGUGGGCAGAAAUGAAAAUGUUUCCAACACGUCAUCGACGACUAAGUUAACAUUAGAGGAGAAAAAGAAGGUGAAAAGAGCAGUACAAGGACAGGAAGUCAUUUUAAAUGGACAUUAUCAAGGAGCCCGCGACCACAGCGAUGCCCACUCGUGAGCACCGACGGCAGCUCCGUGGUUGUUUCCUCUCCCCUGUAAGGAUGGGGGGAAAAAAGGUCCAGAACUGUGACGUUUGGCUGGCAUCGUGGUGUGGUUUUUGUUCUCUUGUGGAUGCAAGCGGAUUGGACACAGCGUGAAGGU